rnacentral:snRNA from 1 species
GUGCUGACUUCGGCAGCACAUAUACUAAAAUUGGAAUGAUACAGAGAAUAUUAGCAUGGCCCCUGCGCAAGGAUGACAUGCAAAUUUGUGAAGCAUUCCAUAUUUUU